rnacentral:rRNA from 1 species
GACGAACGCUGGCGGCGUGCUUAACACAUGCAAGUCGAACGGAAAGGCCCUGCUUUUGUGGGGUGCUCGAGUGGCGAACGGGUGAGUAACACGUGAGUAACCUGCCCUUGACUUUGGGAUAACUUCAGGAAACUGGGGCUAAUACCGGAUAGGAGCUCCUGCUGCAUGGUGGGGGUUGGAAAGUUUCGGCGGUUGGGGAUGGACUCGCGGCUUAUCAGCUUGUUGGUGGGGUAGUGGCUUACCAAGGCUUUGACGGGUAGCCGGCCUGAGAGGGUGACCGGCCACAUUGGGACUGAGGUACGGCCCAGACUCCUACGGGAGGCAGCAGUGGGGAAUAUUGCACAAUGGGCGGAAGCCUGAUGCAGAAACGCCGCGUGCGGAAUGCCGGCCUUCGGGUUGUAAACCGCUUUCGCCUGUGACGAAGCGUGAGUGACGGUAAUGGGUAAAGAAGCACCGGCUAACUACGUG